AAAGUGCUGCGACCACCGGUGUGAGCCACCGUGCCUGGCCAAGGGACUUAUUUCCCUUGGAGGUGGACUAAGGAGCUUCCAAAUCCACCUUAGGAACUCAGCCCAAUUCUUUAAUGGCUGAAAUGAACUCCUAGUCUUCACAUUUCUACUUCGAUUUCUCAAGACCUCUUAACUGGAAUUCACACACCCUAAAGCAAGGGAGGAAGAAAAGAGGAGAGUGGGGAUGGGUGGGGAUUUUGCAGUCUCUGUGUUCAUUAAAAAUAAUGACUUACGGGGCUUCUCACUCCCCACUGUCCAUACAAAUUCAGGUCACCUUCCUACUGACAUGGGAGGACCUAGGGAAACAAUGACCUGGUUUCAGAACACAGGACACUUUCCCCUUAACCACCCAGGAUGGCCAUGGAAUGGGAGUCCUAAUCACAUAAGGCACAUUCGCAGUAAAAGGAUGUCUAACCACCAGAAGGAAAGACUGGAAGAUGGGCAAGACAGUUACCCUAAAAAUGUCAAAGCUUGUCUUUGCUACAGAGACGAUACUCUGUGUUGUUUCAAAGAGUAGAAUAUUGAUGGAUUAAAAGAAAUUUCAGUGAGACAAGUUUUAGUAUCUAAGGAAGAAACCCCUAAAGACGGAGGUGGUAGGGUGAAUGGCUAAGACUGCAGGCUUUGGAAUUACAGCCCCAGUGGUUGAGAGAUCCCAGUUGGCUACAUACCACUAUGUGACCAUGGGCAAGUGAUGUAACUGUUCCAAGGCUGACUUUUCUGUCUCACAGAGUUGUAUAGAUCAAAUGAAAUUAUAUAUAUGUAAGUUCAUGUAAGGCAGGGACCUUGUCCUUCAUAUUAACUGCUGUAUACCCAGCCCCCAAGCCUGGGGUCUGGUGUAUAAUAAGUGCUCAAUAAACAUUAAUGGAAUUAUUGAAUUUGUUGGAUCCUUAACAAGAGACAGAUACUGGGACAAGCAUUUUCAUUCGUUUCAAACACAUUUGUGGAACAUCUACUAUGUGCUGGGCUCAUCAUGGUAAUCCUUUCUGUGAUUACUGAUACCAUUAUUAUUAUAGUUGUUUUGGUGGUGGUAGUGGUGGUGGUUGUCAAAAAGUUUGCUUCAGAUGGUGGUGAAUAUCCCUAUCAUUGGAAAUGCCUAGCUCAUGUGGGAUGACAAGCUGGUAGUAUUGACAGGGGAAUUUACGCACCUAUGAAGGGUUUGGGGUCAUAUCCAUAUCCAAAAUCAAAAUUCUGAUUUUUACAGAAAUCUUGGGCUUGUUAGUACCACUUCAUACUUUUGGUGGGGAUAUGACACUGUAUGUCUGUAUAAGAUAGUGAGCAUUACAGUGCUAAUGAAUAAUUCCAAGGCCAUAUAAAUGCCACAAGGUAGGCUAAACUCCUUUAAUCCCUGUAGCAUUAUCUUUGGCUUUUUUAAGUCUGGUACCACUGUCCGAGCUAGAUCUUAGAGUUGCUGCUCCGUGCCUGGGCCUGGGCCACACUAUUCAUCCGGGUGAAAUGGAAAAUUCUGUUCCAAACAUGGACAUCUGCCUUCCCAAAGGGGUUUAGGAAAUCUCUAGUUGGUUGAUUGAAACAUUCAGUUUUCAUCCUAGCUGUCUGGAGUAGGCACAGUCUGGUGGUGAAAGAGAACAGCUGUAAGGAGAGGAUUUCCUUAUAGUGAAUCUGGAGGUCACCCACAACCUGUGAAAGCUCUGGGAGCUGCUUUUGGCUGCUCCACAUCUUGGCCUUCCUGUCUGCUCUGCAGCUGAGUUUCCUUGCCAUGGAGGGGGCACUCCCAUGUAUUUUGGCUGUAGGGACUCUGAUUUCAAGAUGUCCUAAAGAGUUCCUGGCUAAAAGCCACCUGACUUAUUUCCCUUGGAGGUGGACUAAGGAGCUUCCAAAUCCACUUUAGGAACUCAGCCCAAUGUCUAAAUUUGUAAUGUUCUUCCCAGUACCUUCCUUGAAAGUAUUCUGCAAGUUUCAAUUCUCACUUUCUUCCUUGGAAGAAGGUAUUACAAGUCCCAUUUACCUGAUCCUUAAGAUUUAUUGGUCAAGGGGCUACCUAAGGAACAGCCCCAGGUUAACAGCAGCUUAGCCACUCAAGCUUUCCCAUUGGGAUGGCAAGAUCUUGGCUGAGCAUCUUAGCAUGAGGCCUAUAUUCUUUUCCCUUCUUUUGGCCAGUCCUUACCCUAGGAAUUCAUCCUCUGACUGCAAGGUUACUGCUUGUCUCUAGCCCCUGACCUCCUUUUAAAAACUCCUGACUGAGUUUUUAAAUUUGUAAUUCAUCCAUCUUUACACCAACAUCUGUUGAAUACCCUUUGUUUUUAGCCUCUGCCUUAGAGUCUGUAUCCAAUUUUGUCUACCUCAGAUGCAUCCAUCCAGCCAUCUUCUGGUGUCCCAUUGAGGGCUGGCUUCAAGGGUGGGCAACUUGCGCUGUUGUAUAGAGCCACACACUCAGAAGGAACCUGCACUUCAUUUAAUAACCUGCUAUUGCCUUCUUGAAAUUCUUAGUCGCUUUAUCUUUAAGCUUGCGAUUUGUUUAAGUGAAGUCUGAUGGGACAACACAGCGUGAGCAGGGACAGAGAAGAUGGGCACAAUGCCACUCGUUGCUGCCCCAUUUGCAUACAGCAUUCACGAUGCCCCAUGAGCAAAGAAUUCUAGGAGCCCCACGAUGCGUAAGAGUUCAUCAAGACUUAAUUACGCCCAUAACCAAGUGAAUAUGCUGCCAGUCCCAAAGGGCCAUUCUUUCUAUUCAAACUAGAAAUGGCUUCAAACGUGGAAAAAAAAGUUUUCAGAAACACAAAUAAUCUAGGAACCCUAUCAUAUCCUUUCCUACCUAUGUUGCUUUCCCAUAUUAGCCAACCACUCAUGCUGAAAAUGAUGACACAGAAGGAAAGGGUAGGGUCACGUGUAGUCCCUUUUCGUUUCCUGGCUCAUCUGAAAGCCUGGUAGAAAGUGCACAUAUGAAGUAUGCAUAUAAAGUACACAUAUAAAAAAGGGAAAUAAAAAUAGUUCAGUUUAUUUGGUGCAGCAUUUCCACUGUUCUAGUAAGAAUAAAUACAUAUGCAUGUAGGAGCUACAGAAGUAUAAAUUGUAUAAUUUUCAUAAUUCCUCAUAUAAGUAAAGUGUUCCUGUAAGUUCAUUUAAAACUGGCACCACACAAUAUAAAGAACAGUAAAAUCUAUACUAAUAAUUAAAUUUUUAAAUUUUUUUAUUUGCAAUGACAUUAAAUAGCAAAUACAAAGCACCAUGUCAAGUCGAGAGAAAGAAUGAAAGAAAAAAGCUUUAUCUUUUAGGAUCGUCAGCGACACUUCCUGCCUGCCUUUUCAACAAAGAGUCCUACAUUUCAUUUUGCGCUGGGCCCUGCAAAUUAUGUGGCUGGCUCCGAUCCCAUGGCUUUAAGACAUGUCCACAAGCAUUGAAAAGCUUGUUUCAAACCAGCACCAUCCCAGGCCUUUUCCCAGUGUGACUUCCUUCUAGGCCUUGCCACAUCCCUAUCCCAAGGCUUCAAUUGGGAUCAAUGGAUAUUAGGUGCCCCUUUGGUAAGAUCAACAAAAAUCUCCUAAACAUAGCUCUCAGUAGAUGGGAAAAUGAAGGUAAAAUAAAAUGGCAGGGGCUUAUCCAAGGUCACAAGGUAUCCCAGGGACAGAGACACAAGCUCCUAGCCUUCAGGUCCAAUGCCAUGGUUUGUUGAUUUCCAUCUCUACUGCUGGCCUUGAACAUCAUUUGAAGAUACCAGCAAAAUCAUUGUGUGUUAUAUCCCUUUGAUCAUACUUCAGCUAGGGCCACCACAGCCCCACAGGAACCAAUGUAGGGCAAAAGGCUCUGCCCUUCAAAGGGUCCUACACAGAACAUUCCAAGGCCCCAGGGGAGUCCUGUAUCUUGUUCAAUGUCAAGAAGAGUCCAUCAACAGGCCAAUACAUGCUUCCUCUGUAGGCUCUGUAAAGAUCAGAUUCCUAUGUCUCCCCAGGAAGGUCAGGCUAUCUUUUCCAACCAUUGUAUCAGGAUCACCUGAAAUUCUGUAGAAACAGAAUACUCCCCACCUAUUUCUUUGAAUUUCUUGGAAAAUAAGAUACACAAAAAUCACAUCCAGGGGCCCAGCACAACUGGUCAGAUCCCUUCCAACCAAAAAGAAAUCCCAGCCAGAAGAGACCACAGCCUGGAGCCGUUUGCAAAUUGCCUGCACAUCCUUCAUGUGUCCCCUCAAGUCAUCCAAACGGAUUUUUAGACCAACAUCUCUUAGCACAUUCUAGCUGUCCCUUUGCUAUUCUUUUGGAGGCUUCCAUGUGGAGUACAAGGGUUUACUGAGCCUAGAUUUACUCCAGAAGCCUCAUAACCACCUCUUGUUUGGAGCAGCGAUGCCCUUAGCAACACAGCUUAAUUUUCCAGGUACUUCUGGGCUAGUAGUCCAACUUCCUCCUAAAACCCAGUCCUCUCUCUCCAUACACAGCUUUGUGUAGAAGGAGGACAGAUCCUUGAUUAAAUAUAUUCAGACUGCCCCAGAACCUGGAGCUUGUUGGGCUACUCAGCUGGUGCUGCAACCCUGGUGGAAGGGUCAACUGCCUUUCUUCCAGAAUAAAACUCCAGUUGCUGGUCUCCUUCCUUUUAGCAGGCACACAGGGCAAAAGAUAUCUCAUGGGCCAUGCUGCACUGUUCUGGCUCUAACAGCAAUACCAGUGAUCAUCUUUCCUUUCUUUCUAGUCAAUGAGAAGUAUAAAUACACAUUAAAACUUUUCUGUUGCCAUUUAAAAUAAUCUUCAUGAAAAUAUUUUCACGAAAUGUGAAAAAUGCUGCUGACAUAAGUAAACGGGAUUAAAAGCAGGAUACCUGAUUGUAUACACAGAAGGACCUCAGCUUUGUAAACUGUUUACAUUUAUUCACAGAAAAAAAUACAGGAAGGAAAUACACCACAAUGGGUUUCUAACUGGAUUACAGGUAAUUGCGUAUUUUCUUCUUUAAAUGUUUUAGUAUUUUACAAAAGAAAAUACAUAUUACAGGCAUUGAUUAUUUUGUAAUCUAACCAAAAAGGAUAUUUUCUUAUUAGCUAGGACUUCUGAAAUAGUCAUCACUGAUUUUAUACAUAGCCCUGAAGGAAACAAACGUAAGGCUUCUACUUCUCCCCAGAGUGACUUUUAAGUGGAACCAUCCUCCUAGCUCAAUUUUCUAUACAGGAUACAGAUUUUGGUUUUGACAAAACUGCUUUGCUUAUAAUCACUCUUUUCUUUCUUUUGUGAAACUUGACAUCUGGAAAUAGCCAGUUAGAGCCUUGAAUCAAAGUAUUCUAUUUCUUUCUCCUGGUUACCAGGCCUGAGAUCUCCCAAAGGAAUUUCCAAAGUGCAAGGCUUUGGAGCCCACCUGAAACUGGGCUCAAGUGAGACAGAGGACCAGAGGAUGCUGACUUUGUGUAUCAAAGUAUGAUGACAAGAACAUUGUCUUUGGAGAAUAAUGGCUCCGGAGCCUUGAGCUUUUUCUCUGCAAAACUGAUGAUCAUAUUUCUUUUAUAUAGAUUAUAAAGAUUUAAAGAGACAAGGUAUGGAGGAUGCCUAACAGCACACACAAUUAAUUAUUAAUAUAAGUGGUGAGCACCGGAGAAGGCAGCAGAGGGGAAAAUCUGCUAUUGCUACUUUCCAUUCUCUCACUGUUGAAGUUUUCCAGUGUGAGGUGAGGAUGGGAGUGGUGGAGCUGUCCAGAUUUCAGCCCCACCCUGACUGGGCUGGCCUGACCAAGGACACAUCUUUGAUUUCACCGUGGAAAUGUAACCAUGUCUAGGGUGGAGGGCAGGCAGUGCUAGCCACUGGCUGGCAGCCCUAGAAUGUCCAUGGAUAAUACUGACUAAAUAUAAGACUCCAUUACCACUCCAAAGUCACCGCAUUAGCAAUCCACAGUGCCUCUUCCUCCACCCAUGGCUGCUCUGCCCUUUAACUAUUCAUGGGGCAGCAGCCAGUAUGCCAGAGACUUACGGGAACUAAAAGACUCAAGCUGUAUCUUAUAAUGGAUUGAAAGAGUCAAUUUUUGCUGUACUACAAUUUUAUCUGCUGCUAUUACUGCUAGUAUUGCUAUUAGCACCACCAUUCCUCCAACUGCUGCUACUACUACUCUAUUAAUCCUUUAAGUCUGUAAACUACUUUACAAUUUACAAAGUACCUCCGUAGCCUGAUCAAAAAUGAGACUCGGCAUGGCAUUCCGAGAAGACAGAGGUACAUUGGUACUAGAAACCUCAGAGGGAACAGAGAGAUCUGCAUUUAAGAACAGAGCAGAAUUGCCAGGAUUUAUUUUUACCCCCCUAACUGCCUGGGCUUCAUACACAUUCACCAUCCUCUGCCACACCCAGUCACUCUUCCACCCCUACCCUGCUCUAACUGUCCAUAGACAGUUUAGGCAACCUCACAUGUUAGGAACUAGGAGGAACUUCCCUUUAUUUGGUCGGAGAAGGUUGACCAUGCCAAAAUCUCACCAAAUGGGGCAAGAGAAGAGAAUGCUUUUCAAGUUGCCUUUGCCAACCUCUCCCACCUUCUCACAGGAAGGCCCUGGCACAAGCCAGACUCUUCCUUUUUUAAGAGACUUUAAAUAUUCCUGCGCCUAAAUUAAAAAUUUUUUAAAUGCCUGAUUUUGGCCCUUAUCCCCAAAGGGAAUGUUGGAAUGUACACCUUCUUUGCCCAAGAGAAGGGCCCCCUUUUCCUUCACCCCCUAGCAGCCAGCUGGCGAGAGGACUGAUGCUACACAUAGUGAGAAAGGGGCAGGGAGGAGAGGGAGAAUGCAGCAUAGUUCAAGCCCAACCAUGAACCAAGCUUCCUUUGAGAUUGGGAUCUUCACCUGGCAACCAGGAGCCCUAGCAGAGCUCAGAAAGAAGAAAGUGGCAUUCUGGAAUCCAUUUUGCUCAAGAUGCUGAAGGCAUGGUAUCAGACUCCCCUUUGCUACUGGGGCCAAAAAACUUGGGGAAGAUCUUACCUACAGGGAUGCGGUUAGUUGGGGAAAAGGCGAGGACAAGUCCUGGUGCUAAUGCUACCUGAGAGCAGACAGAAUAUUAGGUCUUCCAGUCAAAGUCACCCAGAUUUGCCAAAAGAGCUGGCACAAAUGUCACUUCCACUAUGAAGUCCCACUGACUUCCAUAUACAAGUCACAAGUGAUGAUGCCCCAUCUGGAUUGGUAAAGAACUCACAGCAAGAAAAAUUAUUGAUGUGGAAAAACUCAGGACAGCAUUCCUUGGUGACCACUUACCACUUUUGCAUUUACCCAGCAGCCCAUUGAAGCGCUUGCACCUGUGUGCCUGGGGAAGCUGGGGAGAAUAUAUCUUCUUUUACCCCUCCAAGUAUUGGAUUAUAUGGCCAUUCUGUACCUGCCCACAACUGAGAGCUGAAUGCAUAAAUAAAUGAAGACUGCAAAUGGUUUGUUUGAGUGAUUUGUCCAUGAAUCAGACAAAUAUUUUCAGUUUAGGUCAGCAAGGUGGCUCAGCACCUGUGGUCAGUCAUUCAGAGACCCCACCCCCGCAACUCCCUAUGACCACCACUUUCAAUCCAUGACCUUAGGUUUUCUGGCAUCUAGCUGGUGAAUACAGAGAGAGAAGGUGAAGAUGGAACCAGUGUUUUUCGCUAUCUUGGUCUGGAGGUAACACUUAUCACUUCCAUUCACAGUCCCUUCAUGAGAACUGGCUACGUAGCUCCAUCCAGGUGCAACAGUGGUGGAAAAUAUAGCUUAGCUGUAUACCCAAGUAGCUAAUAAGUUUGGUGAGAAGCUAGCUCAUCUGCUUCAGUCAGUCUCCUCAUUUAAAAAUGGGAGUAAUACUUUCUAACUCGGCUGCGGCCAUGGCUCCUGUGAAAAAGCUUGUGGCGAAGGGGGCAAAAAAAAGAAGCAGGUUCUGAAGUUCACUCUUGAUUGCACCCACCCUGUAGAAGAUGGAAUCAUGGAUGUUGCCAAUUUUGAGCAGUUUUUGCAAGAAAGGAUCAAAGUAAAUGGAAAAGCUGGGAACCUUGGUGGAGGGGUGGUGACCAUCGAAAGGAGCAAGAACAAGAUCACCGUGACAUCUGAGGUGCUUUCUCCAAAAGGCAUUUGAAAUAUCUCACCAAAAAACAUUUGAAGAAGAAUAAUCUACAUGACUGGUUGCGCGUGGUUGCUAAUAGCAAAGAGAGUUAUGAAUUACGUUACUUCCAGAUUAACCAGGACGAAGAAGAGGAGGAAGAUGAGGAUUAAAUUUCAUUUAUCCAGAAUAUUUUGUAUGAUUUCUUGAAUAAAAUUUGGGAACGAAAAA